CCUACGGGGGGCAGCAGUGAGGAAUAUUGGUCAAUGGCCGGAAGGCUGAACCAGCCAAGCCGCGUGAAGGACGAAGGUGCCAAGCAUUGUAAACUUCUUUUGUCAAGGGACAAAAUCAGGCUCGAGCGCCUGACCGAGGGUACUUUAAGAAAAAGCAUCGGCUAACUCCGUGCCAGCAGCCGCGGUAAUACGGAGGAUGCGAGCGUUAUCCGGAUUUAUUGGGUUUAAAGGGUGCGUAGGCGGGCUGUUAAGUCAGCGGUAAAAGCCCGGGGCUCAACCCCGGCGAGCCGUUGAAACUGGCGGUCUUGAGAUGUCGAGAGGUAUGCGGAAUGCGCAGUGUAGCGGUGAAAUGCUUAGAUAUUGCGCAGAACUCCGAUUGCGAAGGCAGCAUACCGGCGGCGAUCUGACGCUGAGGCACGAAAGCGUGGGUAUCGAACAGGAUUAGAUACCCGGGUAGUC
rnacentral:rRNA from 1 species